GAGAUUAUGCCUCUUCCUUGUGUCGACUUCGCUUUCCAUCUGUGAACUGGGAAAGGUGACCAGUAGGCUGCAUGCUCUAAAGAUGCUAAAGAUGUAGCACAUGCCCAGCCCCCAUGGUCCCAGCCUGUCACCAGGCCAUUCUGCUGCUACCAGAAACUUGCUGUUUAGGACUUCCAUCUGCAGGCAAGUGGGGCCAUGGGAUCUGCUAACAUGCAGAAGGAAGAUAGCAGCUCUUUGUGAACUCUCGGGCCUGCUGCACAAUAAGCCAGAACAACACAGAGACAAGAUGCUUUGGAACGUCUGGGAGUCUCUGCUGUCUUAUUACAUACAAGGACCCUGGCAUUUCCUGCUAAUUCAAAGGAAGAGAAGAAAAUUAGUGCCUGUUCUUCAUCAUGUGAAACUGGAGCCAAAAAUGGAUUUUUUUUGGAUCACACAUCUCCUGUCUCCUGCUGCCGGUGAUGAAGCUGCCAGCCCCACGCCAGUGGGCGGAAAUAGAUACCAGCCCUGGAGGAAGUACUGACUGCUUAUGGGCGCCUGCCACCCUCCCUGCUUCCUCCUCUUCGUGUGGAAGGAAACCGUGGGCUUUCCUGGGCAUUUUUUCUUAUUCUCUUAAUACAGGGGAACUGAAGCAUUUGGCUUUGGUUGUUUGGAUAGUGAAUCUCAGCUUGGAGGGCUUUCCAGAAAGCAGGCGGCUCCGGUCUCUGAACUCUAACUCCGUUUCUCCACCCCCCUUCCGGUGCUGUGCAGUUCUUUCCAAUUCCUGAAUUGACAUGUACAGUACUAGAAAACCUGCAGAGAGCGCCUGGAGGUCACAGCCUGCAUGAGCUUUCAAGCUGGAGAGGGCUAAGUGGAAGGAAGACACUGCACCCCUGGGAUUUCCUCCUGCAAAUGAGAUGAAAUCUAUAUAAAUGUACUCUUUCCCGUCUCAUACCUUUUAUUCGAUUUGCAUACCACGGAUCCGAUGACAACUCUCUUGAAAAGUGCUCCUUUGACUGUUUCAGCCACAGCGGUUCAUGCAAAGAAACUAAAUCUUGGAAAGGAAGGGGCUAACCCCUCCCCAUGCUUGUGCUCAGGAACCACAUGAUGACCAUGACAGACCAUGACCAGGACAUCGGUGGGUGCAAAAAGAAGAAACAA
rnacentral:lncRNA from 1 species